CGGCACGGGUGAGUAACACGUAUCCAACCUGCCGUCUACUCUUGGACAGCCUUCUGAAAGGAAGAUUAAUACAAGAUGGCAUCAUGAGUCCGCAUGUUCACAUGAUUAAAGGUAUUCCGGUAGACGAUGGGGAUGCGUUCCAUUAGAUAGUAGGCGGGGUAACGGCCACCUAGUCUUCGAUGGAUAGGGGUUCUGAGAGGAAGGUCCCCCACAUUGGAACUGAGACACGGUCCAA
rnacentral:rRNA from 1 species